rnacentral:rRNA from 1 species
AAUACAUGCAAGUCGAACGCACGAAGUUGAAGAGCUUGCUCUUAACCCAAGUGAGUGCGGACGGGUGAGUAACACGUGGGUAACCUGCCCAUUAGAGGGGGAUAACAUUCGGAAACGGAUGCUAAUACCGCAUAGUUUCAGGAAUCGCAUGAUUCUUGAAGGAAAGGUGGCUUCGGCUACCACUAAUGGAUGGACCCGCGGCGUAUUAGCUAGUUGGUGAGGUAAUGGCUCACCAAGGCAAUGAUACGUAGCCGACCUGAGAGGGUGAUCGGCCACACUGGGACUGAGACACGGCCCAGACUCCUACGGGAGGCAGCAGUAGGGAAUCUUCCGCAAUGGACGAAAGUCUGACGGAGCAACGCCGCGUGAGUGAAGAAGGUUUUCGGAUCGUAAAACUCUGUUGUUAAAGAAGAACAAGGAUGAGAGUAACUGCUCAUCCCCUGACGGUAUUUAACCAGAAAGCCACGGCUAACUACGUGCCAGCAGCCGCGGUAAUACGUAGGUGGCAAGCGUUGUCCGGAUUUAUUGGGCGUAAAGCGAGCGCAGGCGGUUCUUUAAGUCUGAUGUGAAAGCCCCCGGCUCAACCGGGGAGGGUCAUUGGAAACUGGAGAACUUGAGUGCAGAAGAGGAGAGUGGAAUUCCACGUGUAGCGGUGAAAUGCGUAGAUAUGUGGAGGAACACCAGUGGCGAAGGCGACUCUCUGGUCUGUAACUGACGCUGAG